UUCACUUCAACUUUUCAAACAUGGACUCCAGAACAGAAGGGAUCUACAACAAAGAUCAUUCACAAGGAUGUUAAACAGGACUCACACAAGACACGAUUCAUCCAUGUAAGCCUUUGCCACAUCUCCCUUGACCUAAGGGCUACAACCACCAACAAACCGAACCGGCAGAUGACUGAGCCUUCUCCACAUCCAUUGCUUUCAUGGGUGAAGUAUGACAAAGUCGGUGCCUCUCUGAGUACCUUUCCCACAUCUGUGCUGCCACCAUCCCUGAACCCUCUCGAGGCACACAGGCCAUAGCAGAAAAAGAAUUUCAAGGCAGCGUUGUUCCUUUACAGUUCACUGAAGAUAAAGUGAUGACUGCACUUAAGUGCU
ensembl:lncRNA